UACGUAGGGGGCGAGCGUUGUCCGGAUUUAUUGGGCGUAAAGAGCUCGUAGGCGGUUUGGUAAGUCGGAUGUGAAAUCUCCACGCUCAACGUGGAGGGGCCAUUCGAGACUGCCAUGACUAGAGUCGGUAGAGGAGUGUGGAAUUCCCGGUGUAGCGGUGAAAUGCGCAGAGAUCGGGAGGAACACCCGUAGCGAAGGCGGCACUCUGGGCCGGUACUGACGCUGAGGAGCGAAAGCGUGGGGAGCAAACAGG
rnacentral:rRNA from 1 species